rnacentral:rRNA from 1 species
GCCAUUCCGCGUGCAGGAUGAAGGCCCUCGGGUUGUAAACUGCUUUUGUACGGAACGAAACGGUGAGCUCUAAUACAGUUUGCUAAUGACGGUACCGUAAGAAUAAGCACCGGCUAACUACGUGCCAGCAGCCGCGGUAAUACGUAGGGUGCAAGCGUUAAUCGGAAUUACUGGGCGUAAAGCGUGCGCAGGCGGUUAUAUAAGACAGAUGUGAAAUCCCCGGGCUCAACCUGGGAACUGCAUUUGUGACUGUAUAGCUAGAGUACGGCAGAGGGGGAUGGAAUUCCGCGUGUAGCAGUGAAAUGCGUAGAUAUGCGGAGGAACACCGAUGGCGAAGGCAAUCCCCUGGGCCUGUACUGACGCUCAUGCACGAAAGCGUGGGGAGCAAACAGGAUUAGAUACCCUGGUAGUCCACGCCCUAAACGAUGUCAACUGGUUGUUGGGUCUUCACUGACUCAGUAACGAAGC